CCCUUAGAUGUUCUGGGCCGCACGCGCGCUACAAUGAUGAAUUCAACGAGUUUAUAACCUUGGUUGAAAAGCCUGGGUAAUCUUUUGAACUUUCGUCGUGAUGGGGCUAGACCCUUGCAAUUAUUGGUCUCCAACGAGGAAUUCCUAGUAAACGCAAGUCAUCAGCUUGCAUUGAUUACGUCCCUGCCCUUUGUACACAUUGCCCGUCGCACCUACCGAUUGAAUGGUCCGGUGAAAUCUUCGGACUGAGACUUUGUUUUCUUCACGGAAAACGCUGUUUUAAAAAGUUGAUUAAACCUUACCAUUUAGAGGAAGGUGAAGUCGUAACA
rnacentral:rRNA from 1 species